rnacentral:rRNA from 1 species
UACGUAGGGUGCAAGCGUUAAUCGGAAUUACUGGGCGUAAAGCGUGCGCAGGCGGUGAUGUAAGACAGUUGUGAAAUCCCCGGGCUCAACCUGGGAACUGCAUCUGUGACUGCAUCGCUGGAGUACGGCAGAGGGGGAUGGAAUUCCGCGUGUAGCAGUGAAAUGCGUAGAUAUCGUCUGGAACGCCGAAGGUGAAAACAGCUCGCUGGGGCCGCGCUGACGCUGAGACACGAAAGCCAGGGGAGCGAACGGG